GGGGUAAACAUUUCAAAUUUAUUUACCUUGAUUUUUACAUCAAGGUAAAUAUAUUUGAAACAACGUUAUACAUGUUAUAUUUGAAGAGGCGUUUUCUACACUGAAAUACCUCUGAAAAACAACAGCACUAUGGGGCAUUAGUUUCAUAUUCAAUUAAUUUUCGUUUAUGCUAAGGUUGACUUUUGCCGUUUUGGCGAUUAAACCAAAUCUUCUUAUUUUUGAAUUAUGAAGCAAACAGUUUUGUACUGUCCUCACUGUCUUAUGUUGAGAUGUGUAUUGAGACUCUCCUAUUGUGUAUGAUUCCUGUAAACUUUUCUUGUUAUGAAU
rnacentral:lncRNA from 1 species